rnacentral:rRNA from 1 species
AUUGAACGCUGGCGGCAGGCCUAACACAUGCAAGUCGGGCGACCGGCGGACGGGUGAGUAAUGUAUGGGGAUCUGCCUGAUGGCGGGGGAUAACUACUGGCCACGGUCGCUAAUCCCGCAUACCCUCCUAUGCACCCAUAUGGGAUUAUCUUGUAGGUGAGGUAAAGGCUCACCUAGGCGACGAUCCCUAGCUGGUCUGAGAGGCUGAUCAGCCACACUGGGACGGAGACACGGCCCAGACUCCGACGGGAGGCAGCAGUGGGGAAUAUUGCACAAGGGGCGCAAGCCUGAUGCAGCCAUGCCGCGGGUAGGAAGAAGGCCUUCGGGUUGUAAAGUACUUUCAGUCGGGAGGCGUUACCGACAGAAGAAGCACCGGCUAACUCCGUGCCAGCAGCCGCGGUAAUUC